AGAAACUGGAGAAGGAGGGGGAGCCAGGAGCAAAGUCCAUGACGGCCACGCAGCACAAACAGAUAAGAAUGAAACGCACACACACACUAACCACGCUAACUGCAAUGAAGAAAAUCUGCUUGUUUUAAUACAUGAUCACAUUGCAAGAUUAGAAAAUGACAAAUCUUCUCUUGACAAAAAGCUAUGCAAGCUUUUGCGACAGCAGAAGAGAAGAAACAAUGGGCCAACUUCCAUUGGAGUACCACGACCACUGCCCUCUACAGCCUUGUGUGAAUAUGACAUGCUAAACUAUUGUCGAAAUUUGUGUAUUGUUGUCUCUCAGAUAUCUUAGCAGGUCAAGGACACUCUGCCCAAGCUAGCUGAAGGAGUCUUGCAUGACAUCAGGCCUGGUGAUUUCGUGGUAAUGAAGGACUUGAGGAGGAAACACUGGAAAUCUAAGAGGUGGAACGGCCCGUUCCAGGUCCUGCUGAUAACACACUGCGGUGAAAGUGGCAGAGAGAGCUACGUGGGUACACGCAAAUCACUGCAGGAAGGUUCCAGUGCCACCACGGGGUGCCACAGAUCAGUAAAGUGAUUGACCGCUGCCCCGUGCCAAGGGGGACGUCUGACUGACUAAUCUGGGGUCAGUGCAGGUCAAUGAAUGACAACAAGGAAACAAGUUCUACCCAUCACCGUAGAGCAGCGGUUCUCAAUUCCAGUCCUCGCGUA